CAGAUAAGGACAAGUUUUUCGAGAUAUAAAAAAUACUGUAUGCUAUUAUGGAUGAAGAAAAGGUAGGUUAAAUGACACUAAAUAUUUGGGAAUGUAACUAAGGAAAACGUCAUUUAAGAUAACAUAGGCUAUUGCAAAACAAAUGUCUAAUUCUCUCUAUUAAGUCAAUCACCAGUUUAGCUCUGAUAUGGCUGUAGCUCUAUGAUGUCCUUUGCAAGAAUCUAAUCUGACAUUGACAUGAAAUUCCUAUGUCCUUCAGGUAGUACAGAGAGAUGAUGAGGAUCCCCCGAGGGAGGGGAGGGAGGUUGUUGAGGAAGAACCAGUGGCCCAGCUCAAGAAGGAGCCCAAGAAGACAGGAAAGGCAAUGGCAAGUGAUCUAUAAAGGAUUUAAAAAACCUAUGACAAAGGAACAGCUUGCAAAAUUGUGCAAGACCAUUGUCAACUUCAUUGCACAGACCACCCUGCAGAUCCUGCUGCCGGCCCUGGCCUGCAUUCUAGGGGUGACGGGCUUUUAUGACAACGCUGACUCACUCAAGAGGGGUGGCAGUGCAAGAUCCUUCACUGCCUUUGAGUAGAAAAGACUGGAGCUCAUCCAGGAAGUUAAAUAUUUGGCGAAGUAACUGUGGCGGCAGGGCUCUCCGACCAAGGUCUAGCACACCCUCUUCCAAGAGUUCCCAGACCUCACUGAAAGUCCACCUGGGAAUGCCAGAGGACAGUAUCAUCAGCAGUGUCCAGGAGCAACUGUCAAAAUCUGACCAAAUGGUGGCUGCAGGACAGCUUUCACAAAUAGAUAAAGUGGUUGGAACUAUGCUGGAGAACAUUGAGAAGAUAAGCAGCGAAUGUGGCGAGGAAUUGGUCUAUCAAGAGUCACUGCGGUCUUCCUCCUCGUUGUCAUUCUCAACUGCCAAAUCACAGAAGACAGAGUGGGAAUUUGCACUCCCAUUCCUUCUGAGUUACCCGAGAGUACUGCUCAGCCCAUUGUAAGAUGCUCAGUCAUUGACAUGAGCGAAUCUACUAAGCCAAAAACAAUGGUGUGUGAUGCCAGAACAAGCAUGUUUGCCAUAGCCGAUACCAUCAUGAAGAAGGUAUAUCCAGAGGCAGAAGGGCAGGUUACAUCUCACCCUGAUCUAACAGAUCCAAUAGCUAGACUGGAGGAGCUCAUAUCUCAGGGUAGGAUUGGUGCUCUCUCCCGUGAUCUCAGUCACCAAGUCAACCGCAUAAUUUCCGAUAGCAACUUGACCCCUCUGGGACUGACAGUGGCGGCUGGAAAGAGUGCAUCUGAUACCAUCCUUUCGAAGCUGAAGAGGAAUGACAAGGUGGGGAAGCACACAACUUACGAGCUGGUUCAGCUGUUUGUAGAGGAGUCUGUUAAGUGCCUCCUGCUUCCUAGUUUUGUGCCCUAUUCAACUUCAAUGAGUUUGGCUCAGGGGGCCAAGGUGUUGGCUAGAGUGUCUGAAGAUAGAAUUUCUAGCUCUUCUUCUUCAUCAGUAUUUAGUGACACAGUCAGUCUCUUUACCAAAGUUAUGGUAAGCCAGGUCAUGUACUCUGUGGAUUCUGAUGCAGAAAGUAGAGGAUCCUCUCCAACUGAAUCUCUCCAAACAUCUGAAACCACUAUAUCUGAUGUAGGCAAUCUAUUGAGUGGCAAGUCCUCCCCUCGGCUGUCUCCUUCUGGCACCAUUAUGGCAACAAGCGAGACCUCCAAUGCAGCACAAAUCUUGAAGGCCAACAUUGAUGGAGAGGAAGUGGAUUCCACCAGUCAUUCUGGUGUAGCUCAAAACAUUGUCAGGGACGAUAUGUCAACCAGCCCAGACAUGGUCAAAGAUGUCACACUUCCAACCCCAUCCUCUGAUAACUUGGGCAGUGAUGAUGACGUCACCGGCCUCAUCAGCAUGUUAGUAAUGAGAAUUCUAACAGAAAUCCAAACCCCAGCAGAAGAUUACCCAGUUGACGCAAGUCACAAGACCUGAUCCCUAAAGUUAUGGAGGUCUUCUGUGCAUGGUCAGGCUGCUCUGAGACACAAGCCUAUCCAGAGAACUUGAGGAUUCAUAAAGUCUACAGAGUCGUCUAUAAAAAUCUGUUGGAGGAGUUUGGCUCGGAGAAAAUCCUCCAACAGGCCGUGUCGACUCAGGACUCUUCAUUUGAUAGGAUUCUUGUCAAGUCUUUGAGUGAAGCGCUUCUCCACAGAUGUAAUGAGGCAUUGAGGGCAGCCUCAAGAACAUCAGUCAAAACCACUGGGCCUAAGGCUCUUCCACUGGCUGAGGAUGUGAGGGCUAGCAGCGGGAAACUAUCUUUUCUACAAAGGCUGGUCAGGCUGACAAGCAACUUAAAGCUAUUCAAGAAGGGGAACAAGAAGGAUUCCCACCGCUCUGAAUCAGAACAAGUACAGACCACUGCUGAAGAUGGCAUGCUGCCCAGCAUAGUGCCACAUGCCGCCAUGUCUGCACUGCCAAAGGAUCUCCCCGCCAGCUCCCAACAGGAGACGCCUCACAAACGUCCACUUCUCGUCAGGAUGUUUUCUGCCAUCUCCAAAGGCCUGUUCAAGCCCUUCAAACAGUCCUUAAAGACCAAGUAACUUCAGACAAUUUAUUAAAUGUCAUUCAUUGC